rnacentral:piRNA from 1 species
UGCAAAAGGGUUACUUUACUGAUGCA